AGGAGUUGGAAAGAGAAGCCCUUGCCGGUGUCAGUGUUUCCAGGCGGUGGAAGCAGCUAUGGAUCGUGCUGUGGGGCUCUCCUCCCUCAGAUCACCUGGACAGCUGUCUGCUUACACGGUUGGCCGGUGGCAAGAUUGGCUUUAUUUCCAUUCUCCUACCGAAAGUGACAGCGCAGCUGAGUGCCACCUCUGGGGGCCAGGGGAGCCCUGAGGUCGGAUGAGACAUGGCUUCACGCAGCGGCAGUGACCCUUCGGAAAAGGAAGCAACCGGACAUUUCCUCAGCACAUUGUCUUUCUGCAAAAUUACAAUCUGGACACGGCUGGUCUUCCCCCCAGGAACAUUCUUGCCCACCCACAAAGGCUGGAGCCGAAAAUUCUCUGACCAACAAGCCACGGAGGGCGCUGUGCUGAGCAGAGCGGGUACCCUUCAGGCAGCCAGUUGGAGCCCGAUGCGAACUUUCCGCUGGCGCAUCCGAAGGGGCAGCUUGGCUCGGUCUCCAUGGCGACAGCAUCAACAGGAAAAGGAGCAGGGGCCUCUGCCGUCCUCAGCGGGACAGUUCCCUAUUUCCCUUCAGGUCUGGCACGGCUUCACCGUGGAAUGAAAACGGAACGCGGGAUAUAUUUACACUUGCCGAGUGAACAGCUGAAAAGCUCGUGUGUUUGCUUAAUUGUGCACGAAAGUGAACUCUCAGCUCUGCCACGGGCCCCGCCCCCGCUCAAGCAGGGUGUUUUCCGAUUAUUAAAUGUGAGUUUGAUAGAGGUUUUGACGGCUCUCUGGUCCCAGUUGUGGAGCAACAAGUUAAUUCAGAGUCCCCUGUGAUGCCUUCAUGGGUGUCUGUCGUCAGUCAGCGGUGAUGGCCCAUCGCCCCUGGAGGGAGAGGUCCCUUCCCGAUGCAGGAGACACAGGAGAGAUGUUUGCAUGGAGACAGUGGGGGUGGUACUCCUGGGCUCCCCUACUCCUAGGUGCCGGUGGAGGCUGGGCAUUGGCCAAACCAAAGAGACUUCGAAGAUGGGUCCUGGGCAGGCUUCCAGGGCACCUGAGGACUGGAGCACAGACGAGGGCUGAAGAUGCAUGCACGGCAAGCAGCCAGACCCCACUUCCUGAGUGUCCCCUAACUCAGCAAAGUCUGCGCUCUGAGAGGCACGCGGGUGCGGUGGAUGGAGCUGUGUUACAUUAGGGCCCAGGUUACCUCCCCCCCCGGAAGCCAUUUGUAAGAUGCAGCUCUGUCUCCCAACUGUCCGUAAAGUGUGAGACUCUCCCCCCAGCCCCAAGGCUCUGAGUCAUUUGCACUAAAGAGGCUUCAGGAAUCGACAUGCUCACAGUAUCUGGUGUUUCUGAUGUGGCAAUGAGUGAGUCACACUUUGAAAAACAAGCCAUGGAGCUGUGGUUCUCAAAGUCUAGCACUCUCUGGACCCCCUGCAGGUCAUGUUAGAGCCAGGUGUCCAGCCCGCAGCAUACCUACAACCCCCAGAUCAAGAGUCGCACGCUCCACCUACUGAGCCAGCGGGACGCCCCAGCAUCUGCAUUUCUAACAAACUCUCAGGGGAGGCUUUGCUGUUGCUCCUGGAACCCCACUUUGAGAACUACUCUUUUCCUGUCUUGGAGGAAAAAAAUCAGCUGGGUCGUGUCAGUGCCUCAGAGGAGGGGCAACCAUGCCUUACUCAUGUUUAUGUCCUCCAGCAAGGAUGUGCAAGCUCUUUCUUGGCCAAUUAAAGUCAACCUGAGAACUUGUAGAAAGUUCUACUGAUGUUCUGAUCUCAGGGUGGGAGGUGGUUUCCAGCAUCAGUAAAUUUUAAAAACUAUCCUCGCCCAGGUGUAGCCAGAACCGAGAACCACCACCCCACCAUCCUCGGCACUGAAACCAGUUUCAGUUUUUAUGUCCGUGUCUGUCGCCUAUUCAUUGUACCCUUUUAUUUGGGGGUUACCAGUAGUUAUCGAUAGUUACCAAGUUACCAAGCGCGGGCUGUCUUGCAAGUACUGUGGAAGAGGCAGUGGGGACAGAAGAAGAACUUGUCGGUCCUCAAGCAGCUCCCAACACACUCAGGUUGAAGGAAGGCAGGUGCCCCAGAACCACAGAGCAGAGAGGACCAUUUUUGUGGGAGUUGCAGUGGGGCAUGAAAACCUUCCAGAAAAAGGCAGAAUUUGAACCAAACAGCUCAGCAAAGGCCAGAAGCUCAUUCCAGGCUGAUGGGACGACCUUCCAGUGCUUACCCCUGAAAUGGUAUAGAAUAUUCCAGAAAUCUUAGCAGGCUGGUGUUGCUGGAGGGGGAGGCAGGAGUGGCAGAAGAUGAGGAAGGAGAGUUCAGAAGUGAAUUGCCUUUGGAGAUGGGAUUAUAGUUAAUUUCCCCCACCAAGAGCUGGAGGUGUGGCUACUGGGUGGGAUGGGUCGACCGUCACACACACACACACACACACACACACACACACACACACACACACCCCAGAGGGGAAAGCCAGCUCUUUGCCUCUGCUUUCCUUUAAAAAGCAGGAACUCUGAUCCCUCCCUGUAGGCGUUUGGUGCCAGGGUCCCUGCUAGAGCCCAGGUGUCAUUUUCCUUAGAGAAAUGAGGAAGGAGAGGCAGAUGGAACAGCUUGCUGGGAGUGGCGGUCCCGGUCCUCUUCCCGCCUCGCCUCUCGUUUGGGUUCCCGCUCACAGCUGCGUCUAUGAAUGACCUUGAGCAGACAAUCUGAAGAACUCUCUAGCUCUCUCUUUAGAAGUCAUCUUCAGGAAAAACCUGGAGGCCACAGGUUGCCUCGGCUUUCUUCUGGAGGGCCUGGCCUCCCCCUGCCUCUAGCCCACCCCCCCCCCGGCUCCAUAACACUCCCUCCCAAACCCCCUCCAGUGAGUCUAGGUGUCACAGAGUGCCCUCUGGUCCCGUCUGCACAUUGCAUCUGCUGCCUCCACAGAGUCCAGGGCAGGGAGCCCCCAGGUCGCCGAUCCCUCAAGAGAAACCGAUUUAUCCAACAGUGUUUCAGAAAUUAGAACCC
rnacentral:lncRNA from 1 species